rnacentral:rRNA from 1 species
CCUACGGGAGGCAGCAGUGGGGGAUAUUGCACAAUGGGGGGAACCCUGAUGCAGCGACGCCGCGUGGGUGAAGGAGCGUUUCGGCGCGUAAAGCCCUAUCGGCAGGGAAGAAGAAGGACGGUACCUGACUAAGAAGCCCCGGCUAACUACGUGCCAGCAGCCGCGGUAAUACGUAGGGGGCAAGCGUUAUCCGGAUUUACUGGGUGUAAAGGGGGCGCAGACGGCGGCGUAAGUCAGUAGUGAAAGCCCGGGGCUCAACCGCGGGACUGCUCUUGGAACUGGGCGGCUGGAGUGCAGUAGGCGCAGGCGGAAGUCCUGGUGUAGCGGUGAAAUGCGUAGAUAUCAGGAGGAACACCGGUGGCGAAGGCGGCCUGCUGGACUGCGACUGACGUUGAGGCGCGAAAGCGUGGGGAGCAAACAGGAUUAGAUACCCUGGUAGUC